AAGGGAGGCCUCUGAUACAAGCUUUCGCCUUAAGAUGAGCCCAUGGCCCAUCAGCUAGUUGGUAGGGUAAAGGCCUACCAAGGCUACGACGGGUCGCUGGUCUGAGAGGACGACCAGCCACACUGGCACUGAGAUACGGGCCAGACUCCUACGGGAGGCAGCAGUGAGGAAUAUUGCGCAAUGGGGGAAACCCUGACGCAGCAACGCCGCGUGUGGGAAGAAGGCCUUCGGGUCGUAAACCACUUUUGCACGGGACGAAAAAGGGAUAUCGAACAAAUAUCCCCGAUGACGGUACCGUGAGAAUAAGCCACGGCUAACUCUGUGCCAGCAGCCGCGGUAAGACAGAGGUGGCAAGCGUUGUUCGGAAUUACUGGGCGUAAAGAGUCUGUAGGNGGUUUGUCAAGUCUUUGGUGAAAGGCCGUAGCUUAACUAUGGAAUGCCAAAGAGACUGGCAGGCUGGAGGCUGGGAGAGGGAAGCGGAA
rnacentral:rRNA from 1 species